UUGAAAUUUCCAUGCUGAAAAAUGGUAAACUUUUUCUUCAUGUCAUUUCCUUUAUUAGAAUGUGCAACUGAAACAAUUUUGAUGAAAGAGUUGUCUGAUUUAGCUAACUAUUGCAUGCUUCUCCUUGGGUAAGCUAGCCAACAAUGCAAAAUCCUAAUUUAGGUCAUGGGGUAAACAUAAACUGACAUAGUUUAUGUUACUGGACUAUGUAGCUAAUGACGGCAGUUUGUCUACUAUUGCAAAUUGAUCACCAUGUAAGAAAAAAAAAGGUAUCUAAGUUAGAAAAAUCUGAAAGUUAACACCUGCGUGGAAAAACAGCUGCUUGCACAGAUUCAUUUUGCAUCAGCAAUGCAUAACAUGAUCGAUAUAAAUUAUUUUGUAAAGUAUUGAUUUUGAGUUGGAUUAUUUUCCAUCUUUAACAUUUCUAGGAAUUCAUUGCUUCUUCCCAAUGACAGUAGUGCUUGAUAACUUUUGCCUUCCUGUGAAGGUAGCAAGUCCAAACAUCAUGUCAUAUAUAUAUAUAUGCCUAGAAGGCAAAAAUUCAGUCUGCCUGCUGGAGAGUGUGAAAGAUUGCUAUUGACUUACGCUUCUAAAUGGAUGCCUUGUACACUGUAAGAGAAAUGCUGUGCUAUUAACUUUUACCUUCCUGUUAAACCUCUUAAGUUCAAUUAUAUGAAAUAGUGUGUGUGUGUCUUUCAACAGAAUAAUAAAUCUGAUUUAGUGAAAUUGUGGGAUAAAAGGCAAACCCUAAUGUCAUUGUGUCAUGGAGAGUUAAUAAGAUUUAUCUGUAAUUUUCCAUAGAUGCCUUUUUAACUGUUAUGCUCACAAAAUAGUGUGGAAAAAAAAAUUAUUUAUUCUAGAUCAAGUAUUUUAAGUGUUAAAUUUGUCUAACUGAAAUAGAUACGGAAAUUCUAAACAGUAUGCAAUGAUAGGAAAAGAUCUGUAGACACUCAUAUCACUAUGAGUAUAAAUAUACUCAUUAAAAAAAACUGCCACACCUUGGCAAUUUUAAUUUGGAUUACCUCUAGUCUGAGAACAGUCUGGUGAGCUUAUGGAGUUCCUGUUACAGUUUAGUUUCAUUCAAGAGGAAUGUGGAUCAUGCUCUCCAAGCCUGGUCUGUGAUGAGAAAGCGCAAGCAAAGUAGGCGGGUAAUGCCCAGGUUUUCUAUCAGAAUGUGUUCCUCAUCGAAACUGUGGCACCAAUGUAGAAGCUUGUUCUAGAUUCUGCAUAAAAUGGCUGACAGGCAUGAACAUUCUUGUUUUGUUACUGUUUGCGUGUGUGUGUUGAUUUUCUAUGAAAUAUAAAUUAGGUUCUUACCACAGGACUUCGUAAUCCUUCCAGAUAAGUGAGAGGCUUGGUAGUCUUAGCAUAAAACUUGCGUACAUCUGUAGCCUUCAUCUUGACUCUGAUCCUGCUGUGGUGGUGGUGGCACUUUGUGAGUAAUGUAAGCACUGUUAAUUGGCCAUUUGGGGAGUUUCUCUGUUAUGUAAAACAUUUUUUAAAAUGGAGGUUGUAUUUAGGUUUAUACAGAUUGUAAACAUUACAUUCUGUUUUCAGGGAUACACGUCUUUUAUCCACAAUGUUUUUUCUAAAAAGGGUGCUGUUUGUUACAUUUUUUUCCUUUUAUAUUAUUGGUUUCUCCUCUUUUGACUCAACUCUCCAUUUGACUUCAAUGUUACUUAUUUCAUCACUGGAAGAGAAAUUAACAUGUUUUCUUUGAAGGCUCAGGGAGGAUCUGCUCUGCCUUCUGGUAUAUACUUGUCUUCUCUACAGACACCAUGUUCAUAAGGAUGUGUGGUGACAGGGCAAGAGGCAAGGGACAGGUUGCUUCAGGAGAAACUAGGCAAAACCAAACAAACUUGUUAGAGCGAUUCAACAUAAGACUGGGUUGCCCACAGAAGUGGUAGAAAUGUUUCCUGACUAGAAGUGCUCAAGAUUUGGUUUAACUGGGCCCUGGAUAACCUCAUCUAAGGCUCUGCUGGUGUUUAACAGAAGGUCAGACCAGGGGAUCUCUGAAGAGCUGGAAUUUUCCAUGGGGCAGGUGGAUGUGGGCCUGCUGGGGGAAGCGGCGCCUUGGGCCUGGCCUGGGCCUGGGCCCAGGGGCCUGGCCUGGCCCUCGGGGCUCCACUCCCCUCAGAGCGGGAUGCUGCUGACCUCACCCCCCUGCUCUCCCCCAUCACAGACCGCCAGCUCCAAUGCCCUGCAGCAAUUUUAACAAAACUGAAGUUUUCCCCUCUCCCUUGACUGCCAUGUCAGUGGAUUACCUGGCCAGGAGAGCAGGAGGCACCUGGGCAAAGAGGAAAGCGGGAAAUGCAGUGGAUCAAAAUGAAGAUACGAAUUCCUCUGUGGGAAGGUGGCAUACGAAACAUUUGCAGCUGUGUGGUUUGGCCACCACAUGUCCUGAAGAAAUACACUGUUGGACUGUCUACACUGAAGUGGCGAAUUCCUGAGCUUGUACUACCUGAGAUAACUCCUUGGCUGAAAAGGGCAUCCUUGUCUAUAACUUUGCUCAUGAGAAAGACGGAGACUUAAGAAGGAGAAGUGAAGGUGGAAAAAGGGAAAAGAAAUGAGGGGAAGCAGCAGAGGAAGGAUGGUAUGCCAAGUUAUUUUCAACUUAGACAAUUUUGGAGGUUUGCCUAGAGGAAAGUAAAAUAAAAUAAAGGCAUUAAAACUCAGGCUGUGGUGUGGACAAGUG